rnacentral:lncRNA from 1 species
AGGUGAACUAUGUAAAUCCUACAGCUCCACCAAGUCCUAUAGUAACACCACCUUCUCCAGUGAAGGCACCACCAACACCACCUUUAGUUAAAUCACCACCUAUUGUGAAAGCACCUUCUCCACCAUUGGUGAAAACACCACCAUAUCAAUCACCACCAGUGAAACCAACACCACCUAUUGUGAAAUCACCUCCUUCUCCACCAUUGGUAAAAUCACCACCUUAUCAAUCACCACCUAUUGUUAAGGCACCUUCUCCCCCUCUAGUGAAACCAACUCCACCUAUUGUGAAAUCACCUCCUUCUCCUCCUUUGGUGAAAACACCACCUUAUCAAUCACCACCUAUAGUGAAGGCACCACCAACUCCUCCACCUAUUGUGAAAACACCUCCUUAUCAAUCACCACCAAUAGUUAAACCACCAGUUGCUCCAUCUCCACCACCUACUCCAAUAGUCAAAUCAUGGAAGGGUAAGUCAAUUUCCAUUUACAUGUCUUUAAUAUGUAACAUUUUAAUAACACAUAAGACUAUGUUCAUGUUUCUAAAUUGUGGUCUCAAUAUAAUA